GAUGUAUGUAACUUGCCCAAGGUCACAGAGCCAAGAGGUGGCUGAAGCCAGACUUGAACCCAGGCAUUCAGCUAAGAAACUGCAUUCUUAAGCAAAACAUCACAAGACCUGCUCUAGAGAAAGUGUUCCUGCCUCCUGCUAGGCAAGGUGAUGCCCUAGGGGAAAGGAAGGAGGAGAAAGAGAUGGGGUUUCGCCAUGUUGCCCAGGAUGAUCUUGAACUCCCAGGCUCAAGUGAUCCUCCUACCUUGGCCUCCCAAAGUGCUGAGAUUACAGAUACCCACAACAGGUGAAUGAGUGAAAGCAGUUCCACAGACACCCCUCUCUGCUGGAAAGUCCUUCCUAUCUGACUCCAGUCCCACUUGCUGGAGGAGUUCCCCUCAUUUUGUUUCUGAGACAGC